rnacentral:rRNA from 1 species
GACAGAGGUCCCGAGCGUUAGGCGGAAUCACUGGGCUUAAAGGGUGCGUAGGCGGGUCUUUAAGUCAGGGGUGAAAUCCUGGAGCUCAACUCCAGAACUGCCUUUGAUACUGAAGAUCUUGAGUUCGGGAGAGGUGAGUGGAACUGCGAGUGUAGAGGUGAAAUUCGUAGAUAUUCGCAAGAACACCAGUGGCGAAGGCGGCUCACUGGCCCGAUACUGACGCUGAGGCACGAAAGCGUGGGGAGCAAACAGG